GGCUUCACUGUAAUUGGACAGGAAGAACAUUCAAUUCAAUGCAAUUGUAAUUAAACCUGUUUACCAUAAUAUUUCAUGGUCUCAUAAUUGCAGUUCGUUUUGUAAGGCAAUCAUUUUGGACCCCCAUUCCCGUUUACUUCGUACAAAGCUAGGGCUGUAUGCUCUGUGCCCCACAGUAUCAACAACAAUUUGUGUCUAUUACGACUCGACAGCUCUCAAGUGCUGCACUUCCUGGCAGGAUUAUGACUUUGUCCGGCCUUCCGAUGCCGUGUCUGCUGCUCGUUGAUGACUGGACUCCUUGAGCUCCUGCCGCAUUGUGUUCCACCUGGAUUGGUUGGAUGGAUGGAGUGAGCCGAGGCCACGGGCUUCUGCGAACACGAGGGCCUGACAUUCGAGAGUUGACGCCCCCCAUCGACUAUGUUGUUUUCUCGUCAGUUGGCAUAUAAUUAUUUAAUGGCCCUUAUAAUGCUACAUUUAGCAUUAUGGCAAGUGUGCGUUGGCCGGAAAGUCAUGCUAAAGGUUUGGCCGAUGGAAAUUUUGAAUUUUCUUUAGCAGAAGGCUUUUAAAUUCGAACCUACAUACAUAUUUAUGAGCAAAUCGAUUUUUUAAAUAAUUGUGCAAUUUAGAAUAUAAUUAUAUCAAUCCAAAAUUGGAAAAUGUAGUUUAUCAAAAUAUACAAUUAUAUUGAUACUUAAAAUAUUGGUGCCAAGGUAUUUCACAGGAUGGAGGCUUUCAGUCCAAUUUGUCCGACUUUUAACAAAUGUAUUAGGUCAACAAUCAACGCGACUUACAGUGCAUAUCCAGUAUGAAGCUCUUCUCCUUAGGUUUAUCUAAUUGCGUAUUCAGUGCCUGACAUGUGAAUACGGAAUUCAAAUCGUUGCGCUGCACCGAUGGCCACAACAGACGGUUCUCGAUAACAUCGCCGGAAUUGUGCUCGUUUUGAUUGUCGACAAGCAGUCCAUUUACGAGCCAACGGACUUGCGGUUGCGGCCGACCUAUUGGGAUACCAAAAACAA